rnacentral:rRNA from 1 species
CCUACGGGCGGCUGCAGUGGGGAAUUUUGGACAAUGGGCUCAAGCCUGAACCAGCCAAGUCGCGUGAGGGAUGACGGUCCUAUGGGUUGUAAACCUCUUUUGUCGGGGAGCAAGGCCCGCCACGUGUAGCGGGACUGAGAGUACCCGAAGAAAAAGCAUCGGCUAACUCCGUGCCAGCAGCCGCGGUAAUACGGAGGAUGCGAGCGUUAUCCGGAUUUAUUGGGUUUAAAGGGUGCGUAGGCGGAAGGUCAAGUCAGCGGUCAAAUGGCGGUGCUCAACACCGGUCUGCCGUUGAAACUGGUCUUCUUGAGUGAGCGAGAAGUAUGCGGAAUGCGUGGUGUAGCGGUGAAAUGCAUAGAUAUCACGCAGAACUCCGAUUGCGAAGGCAGCAUACCGGCGCUCAACUGACGCUGAGGCACGAAAGCGUGGGUAUCGAACAGGAUUAGAUACCCCAGUAGUC